AGUCUCCUGGAACGGAGCGUCAUAGAGGGUGAGAAUCCCGUCUUUGGCAUGGAACCUCCCGGGGCUUCUGUGAUGCACUCUCGAAGAGUCGAGUUGUUUGGGAAUGCAGCUCAAAAUGGGUGGUGAACUCCAUCUAAAGCUAAACAUUGGCGAGAGACCGAUAGCGAACAAGUACCGUGAGGGAAAGAUGAAAAGCACUUUGGAAAGAGAGUGAAACAGUACGUGAAAUUGUUGAAAGGGAAACGCUUGGAGUCAGUCACGUUGACCGAGACUCAUCCAUUGCCCCUUCGGGCUUGGUGUACUUCUCGGCUGAUGGGCCAGCAUCAAUUUUGUCCCUCAGAUAAUGGCAGGGGAAAGGUGGCACCCUUAUGGGUGUGUUAUAGUCCCCCGUCGCAUGUGAGGGAUGGGAUUGAGGAACUCAGCACGCGCCUCUUGGUGUCCGGGGCUUUGGCCCACGCUUACGUGCUUAGGAUGCUGGCAUAAUGGCUCUAAACGACCCGUCUUGAAACACGGACCAAGGAGUCUAACAUGCCUGCAAGUGUUCGGGUGGAAAACCCGUGCGCGAAAUGAAAGUGAAAGUUGGGACCUCUGUCGUGGAGGGCACCGACGCCCGGACCAGACCUUCUGUGACGGAUCUGCGGUAGAGCAUGCAUGUUGGGACCCGAAAGAUGGUGAACUAUGCCUGAAUAGGGUGAAGCCAGAGGAA
rnacentral:rRNA from 1 species